rnacentral:rRNA from 1 species
UACGUAGGUGGCAAGCGUUGUUCGGAAUUACUGGGCGUAAAGCGCGUGUAGGCGGCUCUUCAAGUCAGACGUGAAAGCCCCGGGCUUAACUCGGGAACUGCGUUUGAUACUGUCGAGCUAGAGUGUGGAAGGGGCGAUUGGAAUUCCGUGUGUAGCGGUGAAAUUCGUAGAUAUUAGGAAGAACACCGGUGGCGAAGGCGGCCCACUGGAUCGGUACUGACGCUGAGGUGCGAAAGCGUGGGGAGCAAACAGG